rnacentral:rRNA from 1 species
UACGGAGGGAGGAAGAGUAGGAAGGAAUUACUGGGCGUAAAGCGCACGUAGGCGGCGAUUUAAGUCAGAGGUGAAAGCCCGGGGCUCAACCCCGGAAUAGCCUUUGAGACUGGAUUGCUUGAAUCUUGGAGAGGUGAGUGGAAUUCCGAGUGUAGAGGUGAAAUUCGUAGAUAUUCGGAAGAACACCAGUGGCGAAGGCGGCUCACUGGACAAGUAUUGACGCUGAGGUGCGAAAGCGUGGGGAGCAAACAGG